rnacentral:tRNA from 1 species
GCGAAGGUGGCGGAACCGGCAGACGCGCCAGCCUUAGGAGCUGGUGGGCGAGAGCCCAUGCGGGUUCGAGUCCCGCCCUUCGCACCA